GUCUAUGGCCAUGCUACCCUGAACAAGCCCAAUCCCAUCUGAUCUCGGAAGCUAAGCAGGGUCAGAGCUGGUUAAUACUUGGAUGGGAGACCACCUAGAAUACCAGGUGCUGUAGGCA
rnacentral:rRNA from 1 species